UGUUUCGGCAAGGGGGUCAUCCCGACUUACCAACCCGAUGCAAACUGCGAAUACCGGAGAAUGUUAUCACGGGAGACACACGGCGGGUGCUAACGUCCGUCGUGAAGAGGGAAACAACCCAGACCGCCAGCUAAGGUCCCAAAGUCAUGGUUAAGUGGGAAACGAUGUGGGAAGGCCCAGACAGCCAGGAUGUUGGCUUAGAAGCAGCCAUCAUUUAAAGAAAGCGUAAUAGCUCACUGGUCGAGUCGGCCUGCGCGGAAGAUGUAACGGGGCUAAACCAUGCACCGAAGCUGCGGCAGCGACGCUUAUGCGUUGUUGGGUAGGGGAGCGUUCUGUAAGCCUGUGAAGGUGUGCUGUGAGGCAUGCUGGAGGUAUCAGAAGUGCGAAUGCUGACAUAAGUAACGAUAAAGCGGGUGAAAAGCCCGCUCGCCGGAAGACCAAGGGUUCCUGUCCAACGUUAAUCGGGGCAGGGUGAGUCGACCCCUAAGGCGAGGCCGAAAGGCGUAGUCGAUGGGAAACAGGUUAAUAUUCCUGUACUUGGUGUUACUGCGAAGGGGGGACGGAGAAGGCUAUGUUGGCCGGGCGACGGUUGUCCCGGUUUAAGCGUGUAGGCUGGUUUUCCAGGCAAAUCCGGAAAAUCAAGGCUGAGGCGUGAUGACGAGGCACUACGGUGCUGAAGCAACAAAUGCCCUGCUUCCAGGAAAAGCCUCUAAGCAUCAGGUAACAUCAAAUCGUACCCCAAACCGACACAGGUGGUCAGGUAGAGAAUACCAAGGCGCUUGAGAGAACUCGGGUGAAGGAACUAGGCAAAAUGGUGCCGUAACUUCGGGAGAAGGCACGCUGAUAUGUAGGUGAAGUCCCUCGCGGAUGGAGCUGAAAUCAGUCGAAGAUACCAGCUGGCUGCAACUGUUUAUUAAAAACACAGCACUGUGCAAACACGAAAGUGGACGUAUACGGUGUGACGCCUGCCCGGUGCCGGAAGGUUAAUUGAUGGGGUCAGCGCAAGCGAAGCUCUUGAUCGAAGCCCCGGUAAACGGCGGCCGUAACUAUAACGGUCCUAAGGUAGCGAAAUUCCUUGUCGGGUAAGUUCCGACCUGCACGAAUGGCGUAAUGAUGGCCAGGCUGUCUCCACCCGAGACUCAGUGAAAUUGAACUCGCUGUGAAGAUGCAGUGUACCCGCGGCAAGACGGAAAGACCCCGUGAACCUUUACUAUAGCUUGACACUGAACAUUGAGCCUUGAUGUGUAGGAUAGGUGGGAGGCUUAGAAGUGUGGACGCCAGUCUGCAUGGAGCCGACCUUGAAAUACCACCCUUUA
rnacentral:rRNA from 1 species